rnacentral:rRNA from 1 species
UGGGGAAUAUUGGACAAUGGGCGAAAGCCUGAUCCAGCCAUGCCGCGUGUGUGAAGAAGGCCUUUUGGUUGUAAAGCACUUUAAGCGAGGAGGAGGCUACUUAGAUUAAUACUCUAGGAUAGUGGACGUUACUCGCAGAAUAAGCACCGGCUAACUCUGUGCCAGCAGCCGCGGUAAUACAGAGGGUGCGAGCGUUAAUCGGAUUUACUGGGCGUAAAGCGUGCGUAGGCGGCUUUUUAAGUCGGAUGUGAAAUCCCUGAGCUUAACUUAGGAAUUGCAUCGAUACUGGGAAGCUAGAGUAUGGGAGAGGAUGGUAGAAUUCCAGGUGUAGCGGUGAAAUGCGUAGAGAUCUGGAGGAAUACCGAUGGCGAAGGCAGCCAUCUGGCCUAAUACUGACGCUGAGGUACGAAAGCAUGGGGAGCAAACAGG